rnacentral:rRNA from 1 species
GACCGACGGGAGCUUGCUCCCUUAGGUCAGCGGCGGACGGGUGAGUAACACGUGGGUAACCUGCCUGUAAGACUGGGAUAACUCCGGGAAACCGGGGCUAAUACCGGAUGCUUGAUUGAGCCGCAUGGUUCAAUUAUAAAAGGUGGCUUUCAGCUACCACUUACAGAUGGACCCGCGGCGCAUUAGCUAGUUGGUGAGGUAACGGCUCACCAAGGCGACGAUGCGUAGCCGACCUGAGAGGGUGAUCGGCCACACUGGGACUGAGACACGGCCCAGACUCCUACGGGAGGCAGCAGUAGGGAAUCUUCCGCAAUGGACGAAAGUCUGACGGAGCAACGCCGCGUGAGUGAUGAAGGUUUUCGGAUCGUAAAACUCUGUUGUUAGGGAAGAACAAGUACCGUUCGAAUAGGGCGGCACCUUGACGGUACCUAACCAGAAAGCCACGGCUAACUACGUGCCAGCAGCCGCGGUAAUACGUAGGUGGCAAGCGUUGUCCGGAAUUAUUGGGCGUAAAGCGCGCGCAGGCGGUUUCUUAAGUCUGAUGUGAAAGCCCCCGGCUCAACCGGGGAGGGUCAUUGGAAACUGGGGAACUUGAGUGCAGAAGAGGAGAGUGGAAUUCCACGUGUAGCGGUGAAAUGCGUCAGCGAUGUGGAGGAACACCAGUGGCGAAGGCGACUCUCUGGUCUGUAAC